UGGCGCAAGAGAAUGGGCCGUCCUUCGG
rnacentral:sRNA from 1 species